AUGAUGUUUCUCUUCCCCUUCCUCACUGACUUAUCCCAUCUAGCUAGAUGUCACCCCUCUUCUUUCUGUUGUACACAUUUGGACCUUUACCAUUAUCACUGGGUCUAUGUCGGCUCCUUUUCCUAUAUGUCUUGGUUAUGGGCCUAUCAAACAGUGUCAGGAAGAUUUGGGGAUCAUGUUGUUAAUUUUUUUACUAGGUCAUUUUAUUUGUGA